rnacentral:rRNA from 1 species
AUACCCACUAGAUGAUUAUGCCUGGAAUGGUUUAUCAUCGAAAGACUCUGGAAACAUGCUUCCAGCGUUGCUCGAGGAUGGGACUGCGUCCGAUCAGGUUGUUGGCGGGGUAACGGCCCACCAAGCCUAUAACCGGUACGGGCCCUGAGAGGGGGCGCCCGGAGAUGGAAACUGAGAAAAGGUUCCAGGCCCUACGGGGUGCAGCAGGCGCGAAACCUCCACAAUGCGCGAAAGCGUGAUGGGGUUAUCCCGAGUGCCGUCCGAUGAGGAUGGCUUUUCACCGGUGUAAGAAUCCGAUGGAAUAAAGGGGGGGCAAGACUGGUGUCAGCCGCCGCGGUAAUACCAGCCCCCUGAGUGGUAAGGACGAUUAUUUGGCCUAAAGCGUCCGUAGCCGGCUUAUCAAGUCUUUUGUUAAAUCUAACGAUUCAAUCGUUGGCCCGCAGAAGAUACUGUUAUGCUAGAGGACGGGAGAGGUCGACGGUAGUCCAGGGGUAGGGGUGAAAUCCUAUAAUCCUUGGAGGACCACCAGUGGCGAAGGCGGUCGACUAGAACGUGCCUGACGGUGAGGGGCGAAAGCUGGGGGAGCGAACCGGAUUAGAUACCCGGGUAGUCCCAG